CAUUCAACUUGAACCGACUCGAAC
rnacentral:miRNA from 1 species